ACACGACUACAUUAGAUACCCGCGUAGUCCUAGCCGUAAACGAUACUCGCUAGGUGUCGGCCACGGUGCGACCGUUGUCGGUGCCGUAGGGAAGCCGUGAAGCGAGCCACCUGGGAAGUACGGUCGCAAGGCUGAAACUUAAAGGAAUUGGCGGGGGAGCACCACAACGGGUGGAGCUUGCGGUUUAAUUGGAUUCAACGCCGGAAAUCUUACCGGGACCGACAGCAACAUGAAGGUCAGGCUGAAGACUUUGCCGGAUUAGCUG
rnacentral:rRNA from 1 species